GACGAACGCUGGCGGCAUGCCUAACACAUGCAAGUCGAACGAGACCUUCGGGCCUAGUGGCGCACGGGUGCGUAACGCGUGGGAACCUGCCCUUAGGUUCGGAAUAACUCCCCGAAAGGGGUGCUAAUACCGAAUAAUGUCUUCGGACCAAAGAUUUAUCGACUUUGGAUGGGCCCGCGUUGGAUUAGCUAGUUGGUAGGGUAAAAGCCUACCAAGGCGACGAUCCAUAGCUGGUCUGAGAGGAUGAUCAGCCACACUGGGACUGAGACACGGCCCAGACUCCUACGGGAGGCAGCAGUGGGGAAUAUUGGACAAUGGGCGAAAGCCUGAUCCAGCAAUGCCGCGUGAGUGAUGAAGGCCUUAGGGUUGUAAAGCGCUUUUACCCGGGAUGAUAAUGACAGUACCGGGAGAAUAAGCUCCGGCUAACUCCGUG
rnacentral:rRNA from 1 species